rnacentral:sRNA from 4 species
AUAUCUCUCUGUACGGGAAGGAUGAGAAGCUUCUACCAGGGUUCGAUUCGAGCGCAGCGAGAAAGCGUUGCCGCAGGCAACGACCCGAAGGGCGAAG